ACAGAUCACAGUGUGUGAGACUGAAGGACUGUGUGUCCAACCAGACCAGGCGGUCACUGGAGCACCACAGGGCUCUGUACUCUCACCAUUCCUUUUCACUCUCUACACUUCAGACUUCCAGCACAAGUCCAACUUCUGUCAUCUACAGAAAUACUCAGAUGACUUUGCAGUUGUUGUGUUUAUCAGCGAUGAACAAGAAUCUCAGUGGAGAGAUCUGGUGGUCUGCUUUGUGGCAUGGAGUGAGAUCAGUCACUUCAUCUUGAGAGUGAACAAAUAAAAGGAGAUGACUGUAGAUUUCAAGAUGAACAAGAUUAGAUAAAACCAUAUUUCCAUGAGGGCAGAAGUGGAGGUGGUUGAUGGAUAUACACGUCUCUGUGUUUAUCUGGACCGAAGAUGCAACAGUGAAGUCGUCCACAAGACAGGACAGAACAAACUGUACUUCUCGAAGAAGGUAAGAUCCUUCGAGGUUUGCAACAAGGUGCUACAUAUUUGAUAACUCUGUUGUUGAGUGUAAUAUCUUCUGACAUCAUGUGUUG